rnacentral:rRNA from 1 species
CUACGGGUUGCUCCAGUCGAGAAUCUUCCACAAUGCACGAAAGUGUGAUGGAGCGACGUCGCGUGCGAGAUGAAGGCCUUCGGGUCGUAAAUCGUUUUUAUAAGGGAAGAAUUUAGAUGACAUUACCUUAUGAAUAAGGGGUUGCUAAUUGCGUGCCAGCAGCAGCGGUAAUACGCAAACCCCAAGCGUUAUCCGGAUUUAUUGGGCGUAAAGGGUGGGUAGGCGGAUAUAGCAGUCAGUCGUUAAAUCACUGGGCUCAACCCAGUAAUCGCGAUUGAAACACUAUGUCUAGAGAUAAGUAGAGGUCAACGGAACUCAUGGUGUAGCAGUGAAAUGCGUUGAUAUCAUGGGGAACACCAAAGGCGAAGGCAGUUGACUGGGCUUUAUCUGACGCUGAGCCACGAAAGCGUGGGGAGUGAAGGGGAUUAGAUACCCUAGUAGUC